rnacentral:misc_RNA from 1 species
CAGAAAUAGAAAAUUUAUAAUAUAUUAUAUAUAAUCUCACCAGAGAUUUUGAGUCCUUAUUUUUCUUAUUUUGUCGGUGCCCACUAAAAUACAACCUCACAUGUCUCCUCCAGUAGAUAUAUAGAAGAUAUGAAUAAAACCAAUCUCAAAUCAUAUAAAUAUGUGUACACACACACUAUCUGAUGUCGUUUUGCUAAACGAAAAAGAAAAAGAAGAAAAAAAAUCUCAUUAAUCAGUCUAUUAUUAUCACAGCAAAGCCCCCACUUAAAAAUUGCAAAACUAGAUAUCAAAAUCUAAGACCUGGUGCUUGAACCAGAUUUUUCUCACCUUCAUCAACAACGUUAUGCAUUGUUAAAUUACUAGACCCAUUUUGAGAUGAACUAACAAUCAGCCUGCUGUAGGCGGGGUGGUAAUUUCCGGCGAAGAAGCCGCCAACGGUAGUUUUUCCGGCUCCUCAGAUUGGGGUGCUACGAGUGUUCCUUGAUUAUACAAGGUGCUUAAUUGAUGAAAGUAAGGACACGUCCUAGAAUCCACAGAUCUUUUCUUGUUAACAUCCUUGGUUUUUCUGAAGUACUUGUUUAUGUUCUCCCAUUUCUCUUUGCACCUCUUUGCACUCCUUUUAUAACCCAACUCCAUCAUCCCUUGUGAGAUUCUCUCCCAUAAAGGAGCCUUCACUGUUGCUUCCUUGUCUUCAUUACUGUGGUAGAGACUGCUCCUUAGGUUUAUCAGAGCUAAUACCUCGUCUUUUGGCCAUCUCUUUCCCAGGUCUUCUUUAUCAUUGGAUGUGGGCUUUUUUUGCACAGUUUCUGUUUGCAGUGGAUUGCUUUGGGAAGUGAGAUCAUUUGGGGUCUGGGUUUGGGGAGCUUGUAAUGAGGAUGUGCAUGAACUGGGCACGAGUGUUGAACUAGGGUUUUGAGGUGCUAGGUUUUCUGACAUUGAAGUGGGUACAAUUGGAUUGUUUUUGGCUGGCAAUGAGCUUGAGUUUUGAUGACCUAAACCUAUGGUAGUUGAUAUGGGUGCUUCUGAUUUGCUUUGGUUGUUAUUAGGGUUUUGCGGUAACACCAAAGAAGAUGAAAUGGAAGGAUUUGAACUAUUUGGUCCUUUAAGAAGAUCUUGUAUAUUUGUCUCUCCGAGAAUUUCAAUACAAGAACCAGUUGAUGAUGAGAAUUUUUUCAAGAAGUUGAUUAUUUUUACCUGUCUAUCACCUGUAAGAGCUUGUUCUUGUGCCCUAAGUUCAAGCUCCUUGUUUAUCCUAUCCAUUUCUUGCUUCUUCCAAGCUUCUUCUCUCGCUAACUUCUCUUCAUCUCUCCUCACCAUAUCUUCAAGAAGCUUAUUAUGCAUUUCUUCCUGUUGAGCCAUAAUUUUGCUUAUAAUAUCUUCGCAGAAGCCCUUGAACAUCUCGAACUUUUGUUGUCUUCUUCUUUUCUUGCUCUUGGAUUUCUCAUCCUCUUUCCCAUUAUCCUCAGCUGGGUUUCCUACUGUUUGAUCAAUUUUUGAAUCUUCUUUCACAUUCUGUUCCAUCUUGUCUUCUUCUUCGGUGGCCUUGUCCAUUUUUUUGUUCUUUCCUGCUGCAAUCUCUUGAAGGUUUUGAUUAUCAUCACGGUAAAGCACUUCAAGCACACCCAAAUCCCUGUAAUUCUUGGAGUAAUUAAUGUUGUUGAAGUAUCUGCUUUCUUCUUCAAACUUCUCCUUACACUUCUCAGCACUUCUUUUGAACCCAAGCUCUGCAAGCUUCCUGUACCCACCAUAAAUAUGUAUAAAACAAAAGCCACCUACAUAUCAUUAGCAUUUAUUUUCUUCAUUUUCAUACUCAGUUAUUAAAUAUUCAAGAAGGGUUUCUUACUUUCUUUAAUUCUCCACUCCCUAGACUAGACUCAAGAGAUGGUGGGUUCAAGUUUAUUGAGAGAUUUAGUUACUUCAUUGAUCUUUUUCACUGUCUAGUGCAGGAAAAUCCACUUCAAAAAUAUCAGCACAAUUUGAAAACAUUGUGCUCUAUAUAGAUAUAUGUUUUCUUAAUUUGCACACCAAAGUAACAAGAACGGAUGAAGAGAAGAGCAAAUUGAAGGAAUUAAAUUAUACCUUGAUACAUGUUCCCAAGUGAAUUCUGGGAACCAAUUCUCCCAGCUAGAUCUGAUCCUCAACAGUGCAAGCACUUCAUCAUUAGACCAUGGAUCGAUGGAUUCCUGCGUUGAUCUGUCUCUUUCAAUUUCCAAAUUCACAAGUACCAUGCUGUUUUCUUGCUUGUCUUCAUUUUUAGUGGUGGCCGGUGGUGAACUAUGGUGCAAUGGGUGCAAGAAACUGGGCUGCUGCAGGGGUAGCUGUUGAUGGUGAUAUUGAUGAUGAUUAGAAGUGUAGAGAUCAAAACUAGGGAAGGUAGCAGUACUAGUACUAGAGGAGCCAUGAAGAGGUGGGAAAGAGAGAGGGAGAGGGAGUGAUGUUCUUGAAACUAUGAAUUGGUGGAACUGGUCUGGUACUCCUUCAAACAUUUUUGUGCUGGUGUGUGUGUGUUUUUGUGCUUGUGUUUUUUUCCCCCUGUGUCUAUGUUCUAUCUACUUAAUUUCUUUAAUUCUCUCCCUCUCCCUCUCCCUCCUUCCCCCUCUCC